rnacentral:lncRNA from 1 species
GUUAAGGCUUCCCAACCUCAGCUGUUGCCUCCCCUCUGACUGUUGACGGGCAAUCUCUGAGGUGACCCCUAGGAGCCCAGGUGUGGGUUUAUUAAAGAGGGUUCGCCUGAAUUUUAUGUGUGUGAGGGGGUGCCAUUUAAUUUUGAAAAUACACAAUAAAUUCAACAGUCUUUUCUGAGAAGCAAAGAAAAGCGAAAACAGGGAAAGCAGCAAGAAGCCAGUGGCGGACAGCUCCCGCUCCACCAGCUGGAGGGCUGCCGGAUCCAGUGUCAGUCCCC